UGAAUUUCGGGGUCAGUAGGCCGGUCGUGCCUCCGGUAUGCACUCUGGUCCAGGAUUGUUGCUUCUUGAAGAACUGUAAUGCCAUUAAUUUGGUGUUGCAGGGAAACNGGACUGUUACUUUGAAAAAAUUGAGUGUUUAAAGCAGGCGAUCGCUUGAAUACAUUAGCAUGGAAUAAUGAAAUAGGACGAUCGAUCCUAUUUUGUGGUUUCUAGGAUUGACGUAAUGAUUAAUAGGGAUAGUUGGGGCAUUAGUAUUCAAUUGUCAGAGUGAAAUUCUUGGAUUUAUUGAAGACUAACUACUGCGAAAGCAUUUGCCAAGGAUGUUUUCAUUAAUCAAGAACGAAAGUUAGGGAUCGAAGACGAUCAGAUACC
rnacentral:rRNA from 1 species